rnacentral:rRNA from 1 species
ACGAACGCUGGCGGCGUGCUUAACACAUGCAAGUCGAACGGAAAGGCCCUGCUUUUGUGGGGUGCUCGAGUGGCGAACGGGUGAGUAACACGUGAGUAACCUGCCCUUGACUUUGGGAUAACUUCAGGAAACUGGGGCUAAUACCGGAUAGGAGCUCCUGCUGCAUGGUGGGGGUUGGAAAGUUUCGGCGGUUGGGGAUGGACUCGCGGCUUAUCAGCUUGUUGGUGGGGUAGUGACUUACCAAGGCUUUGACGGGUAGCCGGCCUGAGAGGGUGACCGGCCACAUUGGGACUGAGAUACGGCCCAGACUCCUACGGGAGGCAGCAGUGGGGAAUAUUGCACAAUGGGCGGAAGCCUGAUGCAGCAACGCCGCGUGCGGGAUGACGGCCUUCGGGUUGUAAACCGCUUUCGCCUGUGACGAAGCGUGAGUGACGGUAAUGGGUAAAGAAGCACCGGCUAACUACGUG